GCCAGCUCAAAUGUAAGACUUAAAACUAAUAAAGAGGUUCCGGGAUUAGUUCAUCAACCCAGAGCAAACAUGCACAUCUCUGAAAGCCAACAAGAAUUCUUCAGAAUGCUGGAUGAAAAAAUUGAAAAGUAUUUAUUUAUGAAUUUCUAAGCUAUGAUGUAUAUCACUCAACAGAAGAUAAUGAAGAAGGUCUUAAAUUCAUUAGUAUUAUUUAGCAGCAGAUCCCACUUUGACAUGGACCCUCUGAGAGAAUAAUUGUAUCAUCUUCUAAGCCACCAUUAAAAGACCAGCAAAGGUCACCAAUGCGAAAAAUAGAGAUGGAUAAUGAAUUAAAAUGAGAGUUAAAUCUAUAAUGUUCCCUGGAUGUAAAUAAAUAAAUACUUGUUAAAGUAUAAUAAU
rnacentral:lncRNA from 10 species